GACGAACGCUUGCGGCGUGCUUAACACAUGCAAGUCGAACGGACCUUCUGAUCUUUUGGUUGGUUGGUUAGUGGCGAACGGGUGAGUAACACGUGAGUAACCUGCCCUUCUCUUCGGGAUAACUGUCGGAAACGGUGGCUAAUACCGGAUAUUCAUAUGCUGUCGCAUGGUGGUGUGUGGAAAGAUUUUUUGGUGGGGGAUGGACUCGCGGCCUAUCAGCUUGUUGGUGAGGUAGUGGCUUACCAAGGCUUUGACGGGUAGCCGGCCUGAGAGGGCGACCGGCCACACUGGGACUGAGAUACGGCCCAGACUCCUACGGGAGGCAGCAGUGGGGAAUAUUGCACAAUGGGCGGAAGCCUGAUGCAGCGACGCCGUGUGCGGGAUGACGGCCUUCGGGUUGUAAACCGCUUUCAACUGUGACGAAUUUGACGGUAGCAGUAGAAGAAGCACCGGCUAACUACGUGCCAGCCGCCGCGGUAACAC
rnacentral:rRNA from 1 species